GGGCUUGUAGCUCAGCUGGUAGAGCAUCUGCUUUGCAGGCAGAAAUUCCUAGGUUCAAUGCCUGGCAACAUCU